AGGAUCGUAGCUCAAUUGGUAGAGCGUCAGACUGAAGUAAUCUGAAGGUCCCUGGUUCGAUUCCAGGCGAUCCAA
rnacentral:tRNA from 1 species